CCUACGGGAGGCAGCAGUGAGGAAUAUUGGUCAAUGGACGAGAGUCUGAACCAGCCAAGUAGCGUGAAGGAUGACUGCCCUAUGGGUUGUAAACUUCUUUUAUAUGGGAGUAAAAUGUUCCACGUGUGGGAUUUUGUAUGUACCAUAUGAAUAAGGAUCGGCUAACUCCGUGCCAGCAGCCGCGGUAAUACGGAGGAUCCGAGCGUUAUCCGGAUUUAUUGGGUUUAAAGGGAGCGUAGGUGGAUUGUUAAGUCAGUUGUGAAAGUUUGCGGCUCAACCGUGAAAUUGCAGUUGAAACUGGCAGUCUUGAGUACAGUAGAGGUGGGCGGAAUUCGUGGUGUAGCGGUGAAAUGCUUAGAUAUCACGAAGAACUCCGAUUGCGAAGGCAGUUCACUGGACUGCAACUGACACUGAGGCUCGAAAGUGUGGGUAUCAAACAGGAUUAGAUACCCGAGUAGUC
rnacentral:rRNA from 1 species